rnacentral:rRNA from 1 species
GCCAGACUCCUACGGGAGGCAGCAGUAGGGAAUCUUCCACAAUGGGCGAAAGCCUGAUGGAGCAACGCCGCGUGGGUGAAGAAGGUCUUCGGAUCGUAAAACCCUGUUGUUAGAGAAGAAAGUGCGUGAGAGUAACUGUUCACGUUUCGACGGUAUCUAACCAGAAAGCCACGGCUAACUACGUGCCAGCAGCCGCGGUAAUACGUAGGGAGCAAGCGUUAUCCGGAUUUAUUGGGUGUAAAGGGUGCGUAGACGGGAAAUUAAGUUAGUUGUGAAAUCCCUCGGCUCAACUGAGGAACUGCAACUAAAACUGAUUUUCUUGAGUGCAGGAGAGGUAAGUGGAAUUCCUAGUGUAGCGGUGAAAUGCGUAGAUAUUAGGAGGAACACCAGUGGCGAAGGCGACUUACUGGACUGUAACUGACGUUGAGGCACGAAAGUGUGGGGAGCAAACAGGAUAGAUACCCUAGUA